GAGAGAGAGAGAGAGAGAGAGAGAGAGAGGAUGAGUUAUACUUCAGUUGAGCGAAUACUGCAUUUACACUUAUGUACAAAACAGCCGUCGUAUGACACGCCGGUUCCGGGACGGGAUCGACUGCGGCUGCACUCAGCAGAGAAAUUUACCUCGCAACCUUUACGUGUAAUUCGCGAGCCUGAUUGGUACACAGAAGAGACAACUCUGUUGGUGUAACUUUAACUACAGUAGUACAGGUGUAACUUUAGUUACAGUAGUAACUAAACUGACUGGUUAGUUGGUGUAACUUUAGUUAGUUGGUUGUUAGUGUAAAACUUGAGUUACACUACAAACUUCAGUUACAUUAGUAACCGAACUAACUAGUUAGUAUAUAAAUAAAUUUUUUGUUACUUGGGAACUAGAUGAAAAACUUGGUUGUAGGAACAGAAAGAUUCCUACUGGAAGUUUUUAUUCAGCAAAUUGUGCUCAGCUACCUCAACCCAAUUUCAAUGCAGCUGACUGCCCAGACGAAUUUUUUCGCAACAAUAAAAAUGUUACUUCUUGUCAACGAGUUUUCUGUCUGGUUCCUAUUCAGUUACAUGAUCAUACUUUACAUAGAAAAAAACAAUUCCAUCAGUGUGAUUAAAUUUUCUAUUAUUCGGGGCCAGAUGAAAAACAGUUGUGGGAAUAAAAAAUUCCAGUAAGAGAUUUCUACUUAGCUAUCCCAGCUGAAUUUUAAGUGAUCUACAAUGUGUUCCUUGUUUUCUGUUUUUUGUUUUCUACCUUUUCCUGAUUAAAAGCUUAAGAGUCAAGUCAGAAAAAAAUAAAAAAGGCAGGAAGCAAAGAGUAUAUUAUAGAUAACAGAGAAAUUAUUUCUUGUCAGCGAGUUUGUCGUCUGGUCCCCAUUUGGUUGCAUGAAUAAAAUCUUUUUCUCCAUACACCACAUGGAGACUAUACUAUACAAAAUGACUCUAUUAUUGUCUGCUAUUUGGGGGGCCAAAUGAAAAACUUGGUUGUAGGUAUAGAAAGAUUGCUCUUAGUUAUAUCAAUCAAAUUUGAAGCCUGAUCUACAAUAUACUCUUUACCUUCUGUUUCUUUCUUUUUAUCUCUUUCUGUGAUUUAAACUGGAAAAAGAUAGAGAACAAGAAAUAGAAAGCGAAAAGCACAUUAUAGGUCAGACUUUUAUGCAGCUGAAUGUUCAGACCAAAAUGUUUUCAGGUAACAGAGGUAUCAUUUCUCGCCAGCGAGUUUUUCAUCCAGUUCCCAUUCAGUUGCCCGAACUGUUCUUUUCCGCGUAUAUACUUUUGGAUUCAGCCAGGAUUAAGAUGCAUACACCAGUCAGAUUCACGGGUUCUGCACAACAGUUGCAAAGCAGCCUUCUUUGCUGAACGCAGUCUUUGAGACGACGGGCAAAUCGAGAAGGCUAGUCGUAAUAGCUUGACCCCCUCGCUCGCUCGUUCACGCUUCAGGAGGAUUCGUAGGGAAAAUAUACCUUCUUCAUCUGUACAUCAUCGUUGUCUUCAUACGUGACGAUGCACAUCUCGCAGGGCAACGACAUAGGACGAAAGUGGCUUGAAGAAAGCUAAAAAAAGAAUUCACAUUUCAUACUGAACGACAAAAAUGUGUCGUUUCGCAAAUGUGUCUCGUGUACAUAAUUCUAUUUCUAUGUACCUGUGUGUGUGUAGCGAUUUUUAACAAUACGAAAAAUGCGAAGUCUACUAUCAAUACAUUGGAUGAGCACAUCCUGUUCUAGCAGACAGUUUCUUUCCAUUAGAUUUCCAUGCGUUUCGUCUGUUCGUUCCGGGCGAUUAAAAGCGCUUCGCCCGGCUGUACACACGAGAAAACAAUUUCGUUAGUGUAACUGCAUGUUCUGUUAUCAGGCAAUCAGACGAAAAACUCGAUUGUAAAAGAAAGAUUCUUCUGAGAGGAGUUUCCACUCAGCCAAUUGCUCUCAGUUACCUCAACCGAGCUUUGAUGCAGUACACAUGAAUGUCUUCAGUCACAGGAAAGGUUCGUCUAUAACACGCGUAGUAAGUUGGAGUAAGAAAUAAUUUAUAUUUAUAUAAAUUUAUUUAUAUAAAUAUUUAUUUAUAUUUAUAUUAUAAAUAAUUUAUAUCGCUGACGCCUAUACUUUAACUUCUUUACUGCAAUACUGCAAGUAUUGCUCUUACGAGAGGAAUUGAAAUAUAGGCGUAAGAAAUAAAUUGUGUUUAUUUUUUACUCCAAUUUAUACCAAUGUUACGCCGCGUAUUACAGACGAAUCUUGACAGAGACAUCAUUUCUUGUCAAUGAGUUUUUCAUCUGAUCCUUUCAUUCAGUUGCACGAACUGAAAUUUUCUGUUCGUGUAUACGAGCGACUCGCCGUGUAGAAUGAAUCUCGUCUCGUGGUAGACUUGUUUGAAAACUGCGACGGUGAAGUAACGUUCUACCGGGAGUAACGUCGACUUCGAGGAUCUCCAUAUUUAUAUGAAAAAAAUUGUAUGUGUCGAGAUUAGUAUAAAAAAUUUCUCAAAAUGUCUGGAAGGAUGUUGUCCGCCGGGUAGCGCGCAAUGUCCUUGCGUAUAUAUUAAUGUACCACUCCGGUCCUUAUUCUCUUUGAUUGAUAAGAGUGCCUCCAAAUGUGUCUCACAAAAUUUUUAUUCUAAACUCUCUUUUAUCGAUAAAGAUUUUAUCUCUAAUGCCUAUUUCUAGCAAACAUCGAUUAAACCUUCUGAGCUUAAACUCUAUUCAAAAGACCAGUUUUUUUUUUUUAAGAACUUUCCUGCUGUACAAAACAAAAUAUACUUGUUUCGCUGUAACUUGUUGCAUCAGUGGACCCUAGUUGAACAAGUUCUUCGAGAAAGAACAGGUCUAAAAAGACUCAAUUCCUUAUUCUGAACUCUCUUAUCAAUAAAAGUACUUCUAAGUAUGAUAUAUAGUCUAACUAUAUAUAUGAUAAGUCUUAACUUUCAGUUAGCUUAGAGGUACUUUCGUCAAUAACAGAAAAUUGACAAUUAAACAUAAAUUAAAAUUUAAAUUAUAUUGAAACAGGGACAGUGACUUGUAAGCCCUCUGAUUGCCUUGCAGUCACAUUUAGAAAGACACUUUUAUUAAUAAAAGAGCAGAAUAAUGACCUUACAAAUCAUUUAGAAACACUCAUUGAUAAAAGAAACUUCAGGAUAAGCCUUUGUCUGCAUCAAGCGUCUCUCUCGUGAGAUGUUUGUAUCGAUGAAAUCAGAUUGUACCGUUUUCGACGAUUCGUUCUUCUACCGAAUCGAUAUACAGACCGAUGCAAUCGCGAUAACUUUUCUAUUCCGCAGUUCGACGCGAUGGAGAACACUUGUUAUUGGCUGGAGCGUCUAACGCUUUGCACUUUUUUACAGCUGGUCUCGCGCGUCUAGAAGAAGGCAUUCAGAUGUCAACUGUGAAACGUAAAGCCGUAUGUGAACGAAUUCCGGAUAGUCGAUGGGAUUCGAGUCCCAUUGAUGCCUGGGAAAAAUAGCAUUAAGUUCUUUACUACGGUAUCAUUAUGAUUAAUCCGACAUGUCACAUGGCCGCAUGUAUGAAAGGAUCCUUCUGAGCGGGUCGAAACCGCAAGAUCAGAAAUUGCCGAAUGAAGCGGAUCGAGAUGGAAAUCUAAUUCGUCGAUAGUUUCCUUUUCACUGCAGCGUCGGUGACUUUAUUUAUUGCAACUUCGUGUAAAAAAUUGGGGAAGAGCACUCGACAACAUCUUCCAGGAUCCUCCUCCUACAUGUGGCCACGCAACAUCGUGCAUACUGACUGUCAGCGAUCUAAAUAUGCCCUGUACACACAAUAUACGUAUCAUGCAUACACACAGAGCGACACGCAUAUAGCGAAUGCCAGCCGAAAGCAUUUCAUAGACCACAAUAACGAAUAUCCGGCAUCGAUAUGAUCGAAGAGGACGAAGAAGAGGAAGCAAACGUUGCGAAUGGAUAUCAUCGUUGUCGGUCGCAGUGACCGGCGACAACCGUCUCGAAAAAAACUCAGAGAUGCUUCUCCGCGAUAUCCUCGACUCGCAGACGAUUGUGAUGAUCGUAAUAUACCAUCGUCGUCAUCGAAGAUGCGUCAGAUACGUAUUCUAGACGCGAGGAAAACAUCGCAAAUUUUUAUCACGUCAGCUAGAGUGUUGAAGCUGUGACACGCGUUGUGCGAGCACCACGAAGCACAUUGCAGUUGUCGGCGACGGAUUCUCCCGCGAUUUUACCGUACGAAGGCGUACGGUGUCGUUUUUAAUGAGUAUACGCGUAAAACUGAACCGGCGGGCCGGCUGAGAAGACAAGACACGAUUAAAUGUUCAUAGAAAAUACGGUUUCUAUAGGCGUGUUAAUUAUAUCCUCACGAUAGUACAGUAAUAUUAAUCGACGUUUGUGUCCAAUUCGGCGACGUAGUAUUCUGCCUCCGUAAAAAGCGAGUAUGAUACAACGCGGGCGAAUAGACGAGCGUAGAGUUCCACAAGUGAGAAUUGGGACACCGUCUGCCAUUUGUAGGGAAGAAAUGAAUGAGUGAGUGAGGGAGAAGCUGCGACAUAUUCCGUCAUUUCAACUUCUCUUUCACUUUUAUUAGAGUUUCUCUCUUCCUCGUGUUUAUUUCUUCCCUAUUAAUAGCGAAUAGAGCCCAUCUAAUCAGGAAUUAUCGCGCGUCGUUCUAAUUUUUACUUAAGGAACUCUAGACGAGCGUCGUCAUUCUACUUCUUGAAAAAAGAAAGAAGACAAAAAAUGGAUAAAGAAAGAAUUCGCCGCGUCGCACGCGCAUUUGCAAAGUGCUCGAUAUCAUCCCUCAGUCUGAAAACUGAUACAGAUCAUACGGGAUGGCUCGGUCUCCGCGAUGUUACAUAGCGACUUUCUGCUCGCGACCGUCGCUCGGUCUAUUCGAACGCUCGCCUCUGCCUCUCCAUCCUUUCGUGUAUGUACAUACGAUAAUAUCCAUUGUAUUUCCUGUAGAGUUUCUAGAAGUCUCCCCUUAAGCAGAUUUCGUACGAGAGCGCGUGAGUGGUCAAUGAUAUUUUAUUCGUGCAUGUGAGAGCACGUGAGUAAGCAUACGAUUUACCACAACUACUACAGUGCGAUUCCACGUAUGAUUGUUAUAUGUAUGUUUGUUACGUAUCUCACGCAUCUAUGUCGCGUGUGUAUGAGAGAGAGAGAGAGAGAAAGAGAGCGCGGAAUCUCUACGGGCUUGUCAUCUGCGUUGUAAAAUAGUAUUUUUUAUAACGGCGACACAGUGUGCGUAGAAACGGGAGUGAAAUCGUAUUUGACAGGGCAUAUAUGUACUCUAGCUCGAGCGCUCGGGAUGAUGAAUCUCGCAUGUGUUGUCUAUGCGACGAGGAUUGACGCCGACAGAUAUCACACGGAAGACCUCGACCCUUUCGACUGCUCGACAGCUUCCCGACCAACGGAUUCUCAAGCCCCACUGUGUUCAGGCUACGAGUGCUGCCUCUCGAAUUCGUAAUCUUCAACCUCUUUUUUUCACGCAGCAAUCGCGCUGAAAAACUUCGUCUCUUCUGCGCGAUAAACGACGAACUUCGUCCACCUUCAGUUCCGGAAUGCGUACGAACACGCACCUCGGAGUACAAAACGCUUAUAAUGUAAUCGCAGUUUUUAAUUUGUAAGACGAAGAGCGUGCGUGCGUGCGUUUUGUAAUCGCGUCGAGCACUUGCACGAUUCUGUGACGCGCGUUGCGUUCCAUUGUUCCAUUUUAUGUAUAAUACCUCUCCGUCGAAAUUUAGAAUUCACACGUGGCGCGCGUAAUUGCGAUCAACGACUUAUUUGUCGUGGCGCAGUCAAUCGUUUCGAUAAACGACGAUCGCGCUCAUUAGAUUCUAUUAAGGCUUCCAAAUAUGAGAAGACCAUAAGAAGAAAUUCGGAUCUGGAUCUAGAACUGAGAUCCUCUCCCAGAACCAAAUUAAAAAUAAAAGAGAACAGAUAAAAAGAUUUAUCAAUCUAAUAAGAAAAUUGUCAGAAAUAAGUAUUAUUGAAAUAUAUAAAUGAAUACAAUUAUCUCAGAUUAAAGGAUCUUCCUAAUGUGACGGGUUUAAAAAAUUGAUUUUUCGUUUUUUUUGCAUUUUUUUUACAGUUUAACAUCUUGAAAACAUAAUUCCAAAGAGAUUUAGCCGAAUUCGAAAAAUUGAUAAAGUUAUAGACCUUGAAGUGAAGUGACGCACAAAGCAGAAAUCCAAGCGCGCAGGGAUCAGAGAGAGAGGUCAACCUUUAAGGCUAUCGAAAAUAGAACACAAAUUGACAUAGCUGCAUAUAUGUAGUAUAAUUUGUAGUAAUGAGUUGUAUUUAGUACUUAGAAGUCAGUUCGGUUACAAAGUAGUUUGAUUAGCUUCAAUGAUUUACUAUAGCACUUUGCUGCUAAGCACUUGAACUGUGGAGUUAAAGCUAUACAAAUUACUAUGAUAAUCUUCAAUGAAAGGUAUUCUAUUCGGAAGACUUUCGAAACGAUGGAGAUAAUAAUCGGGCCGGUAGCGAAAAGUUCCGUCAAGAAACGAAGCACAGAAUAAAGAUCGCUGAGAAGAAACACAUGGAAGUGUUAACGAAGGCUUGCUGGAAUGCGAAUACUGCUUUAAAUGUAUUACGAGGAAGAAGAAGGUGUAGUAUAUGGCUUUGUGUUGUGUUAGCUGUAAAUAUGAUUUUUUUUCAUUUUAUGUAUUUUUUAUCAGUACGCAAAACUUCAUACGCGUUUUAGAAAUGGUUGCCACGGUAUCUUAAAAAUCAAUUAACAAAUUUACUUGAAACUUUGUAGAUAUAUUCAGUAGACGCGUCACUACGUUUCGUUCGUACUAGAAUCAAGUCGAUAUUUGCAAAAUUCGCAUUUUACGACUUAAAAAACUAGCAAAAACUUUUUCUUUGAGGCGUUGCAUGCUAUUUUGUUAUUUUCUAAUAUUUAUUCUAGUACGAGUUAUAAGCACACUCAUCCAGAUUAAGAAUUUCAAUUUUUUAUUUCAGACAACCAGGACAGCUGAUUAGGAAAAAAAUUUGUUAGGCGUUUCCGUAGAACUGUUGCAACUUUUGAUAGAAUCAAUAUUUUUACUUACAAAAAACUGGAUUUUUUCAAAUAUGGAUAAAUCUACAAAAUUUCAAAUUAAUAUACCGAAUAGUUAAAAAAAAAAAUUCCUGAAAAUUGCCUUAUUUUUAGGCCGUCACAUUAAGAAAACCCCUUAAGUCGUUAAAUUGUAAAAAAACAUUGACUGUUAAAUUUUCAAGAGAAAUUUAGGUUACUACGACCGCAUCUGUUUAGUCAAUUCUCUUGCGAAUUUAGAUUCGGUUUCGGAUUUGAUGUUUCAACUGUUCGCGUAUCUUGAGAAAUUCGAAUUUGAAGUCCUAUUUAUUUACUACCCACAUAUUCGACUCGAAAAAAAUAUUGAAGCCCUAGAUUCUACGCCGGAUGAAUUCCAUUAUCUAAUGACGCGUGUGCUAUUGUUGUCGUAUCGCCGUUUUUCUAUUUUUUUUUGCGCGCUCUAUCUCACAGUCAUUGCGCGGUGAAAGGGUCGAAAUGGCGAAUCGAGUCAUCUCGAGUAACUAUGAGCGACCCGCGUAUUUAGACUAAACGCCUGUAACACACGUCAUACUGCCAGCCAACUGAAAAAGCGAGCGAAGAAAACGAAAAAAAGAAAAAAAAGAAAAUACGAAGCACUGUGUUCCCAUAUCCCAGGAUAAGUUAAUAGAGACACGGAUACGUAUAAUUAAAAUUGUAUAUAUCCCGACGAAAAAAGUCGCGGUCGAAUGUGUGUGUGUGUGUGUGUAUGUAUGUGUUAACUGCCCGACGCGACUAAAACUUCUAUGAGAAAGAAAACACGAAAAUAGGCGAUUAUUAUUAUUAUUAUCAUUAUUAUUAUUAUUAUUAUUAUUACUACUACUACUACUACUUACAUCGACCGAAUUCGUGGAGCGAUCGCCUGAACGCUCUUUCAUUGCAAAAGAAAACACGAAAAUGGAAAAAUAAAGAAAACAGCGGUCGAUCAGGGGGCGUAAGAGCGCUUUAGGUCUCGCGUACGAGUCAUGACGGAACUUUUUUGUAAGCGAAGAGUCCGUGACACAUUUGUACAUACGCCGAAGUCAACUUUCUCGUUCUCACGUGUCACACAUGUUACGUGCGCUGGUGAUAAGCCGUUUUUUCUACCGUAUAAAUUCGCGACCGAUCUCAAAGGUAUUCGACGAUUCGUGACUCGCACGAUGAGAGUCAUGCUGCGUGGAAGUACGCACGUUCGCGUGAUACCGCACGCGUGAGGCUGAAGAUGAGAGUAAAACGAAACUUGAAACGUUUCCCGAGAUCGUGAGAAUGUUGGCAUAUUCCGAAUUAUUAUCAUAUGGCAACGCGAUUGCGCUCCUGCCAUCGUGAAAUCGUUCGUUCAUUACGGCCAUUUAACGCGUAUUAGGGAUUUUAGGAUUCGAAUUUAAUUUAAGAUAGAUGUGUGUUAUACACACACACACACAUAUAUAUAUAUAUACACACACGCAUACACACAGUACGAGAGAAUAUAUGCAAGAGACUUAAACUCGAAAAAGAGAAAAGAGAGAGAUAGAGAGAACAUUUAAAAAGUAAAAUACGAUUUCGAAAAGGAGAUCUUGAAUGUGGUUCAUGAACACUACUUGUCUUGCUGUUAAUAAUCGCUUGCGUUCGAAGAAUACGUUGUACCUUUUGUAAAAAAAAAAAAAAAAAAAAAA